AGGACGAACGCUUGCGACGUGCCUAAGAAAUGCAAGUCGAGCGAGGUAGCAAUACCUAGCGGCGAACGGUCGCGUAACACGUAAGCAACCUGCCCCAAAGACCGGGACAACGUUCCGAAAGGAGCGCUAAUACCGGAUGUGCCCUGCGAGUGACAUCGCUUGCAGAGUAAAGCGCGCAAUCGGCUUUGGGAGGGGCUUGCGGCCUAUCAGCUAGAUGGUGGGGUAACGGCCUACCAUGGCGACGACGGGUAGC
rnacentral:rRNA from 1 species